rnacentral:misc_RNA from 1 species
GUUUGCACAUUGAUGUAAUCGUGAACUAUAAAUAAAAUCUAAGUUAUUGCAAGGAGUUCGACGUCCUUCUCAUCUUAUUCAUUUCCUCAACAUUUGGUCCUUCGAGCCGGAUCGAACAUUGCAAUUUCUUAUUCGUUAAUAUCAGUGUGCUGUGCGGUAUAGCUCUGACUCUCUCUCUCGUGUGCUGUGCGGUAUAGCUCUGACUCUAUCUCUCUCGUGUGCUGUGCGCUCUAACUCUCUCUCUCGUGUGCUGUGCGGUACAGCUCUGACUCUCUCGCUCUCUCGUGUGCUGUACGGCAUAUCUCUAACUCUCUCGCGCUCGCGUGCUGUGCGGUAUAGCGCUGUCUCUCUCACACUCGUGGUGUACGGUGAAUAGUGUCGUCUCGCUCGCGCUCGUGCCAUACUGACUCAAGCAGACUUCUCACCUUUCUGCGAAUAAUUGUGAGUCGCACGCGUAUUGUAGCCUCUCGUGUUUGUGUGCAGUUCAGUGACGCUCAACUCAGGGAGUAGCCAAUUUACAAGUGACAGCUCACACAGCAC